rnacentral:rRNA from 1 species
AGGCUUAACACAUGCAAGUCGAGGGGUCUUUUGGAGCUUGCUUCAAAAGACGACCGGCGCACGGGUGAGUAACGCGUAUCCAACCUGCCCUUCAUAUUGGUAUAGCCUCCCGAAAGGGAGAUUAAUCCCGAAUAACAUGAGAGAGUUGCCUGAUUCUCUCAUGAAAGCUCCGGCGAUGAAGGAUGGGGAUGCGUUCCAUUAGGUAGUAGGCGGGGUAACGGCCCACCUAGCCGACGAUGGAUAGGGGUUCUGAGAGGAAGGUCCCCCACACUGGAACUGAGACACGGUCCAGACUCCUACGGGAGGCAGCAGUGAGGAAUAUUGGUCAAUGGGCGGAAGCCUGAACCAGCCAAGUAGCGUGAAGGAUUACAGCCCUACGGGUUUUAAACUUCUUUUAUAUAAGAGUAAUGUGCACUACGUGUAGUGUAUUGCAAGUAUUAUAUGAAUAAGCAUCGGCUAACUCCGUGCCAGCAGCCGCGGUAAUACGGAGGAUGCGAGCGUUAUCCGGAUUUAUUGGGUUUAAAGGGAGCGUAGGCGGGAUAUUAAGUCAGUCGUCAAAGCCUGUGGCUCAACCACAGCCCGCGAUUGAUACUGGUAACCUUGAGUGCGGAUGAGGUGGAUGGAAUUCGUGGUGUAGCGGUGAAAUGCUUAGAUAUCACGAAGAACUCCGAUUG